ACGUGAUCUGAGUUCAGACCGGAGCAAUCCAGGUCAGUUUCUAUCUAUAAAGGGCUUUUUCCAGUACGAAAGGACCGAAAAAGCAUGGCCAAUAGAACACCAAGCCAUACAGUUAACUUAUGAUUUAAACUUAAUCAGUAAUAACCCUCAUACCCGCCUCAAAAAAAGAGUA
rnacentral:rRNA from 1 species